AGGUUAAUGAGGCGAACCGGGGGAACUGAAACAUCUAAGUACCCCGAGGAAAAGAAAUCAACCGAGAUUCCCCCAGUAGCGGCGAGCGAACGGGGAGGAGCCCAGAGCCUGAAUCAGCAUGUGUGUUAGUGGAAGCGUCUGGAAAGGCGCGCGAUACAGGGUGACAGCCCCGUACACAAAAGCGCAUGUGCUGUGAGCUCGAUGAGUAGGGCGGGACACGUGGUAUCCUGUCUGAAUAUGGGGGGACCAUCCUCCAAGGCUAAAUACUCCUGACUGACCGAUAGUGAACCAGUACCGUGAGGGAAAGGCGAAAAGAACCCCGGCGAGGGGAGUGAAAAAGAACCUGAAACCGUGU
rnacentral:rRNA from 1 species